rnacentral:rRNA from 1 species
AUUGAACGCUGGCGGCAGGCCUAACACAUGCAAGUCGAACGAGUGGCGGACGGGUGAGUAAUGUCUGGAAACCUGCCUGAUGUAGGGGGAUAACUGCUGGAACCGGUGGCUAAUACCGCAUACCGUCAUAUGUGCCCAGGUGGGAUUAGCUUGUGGGUGGGUGAACGGCUCACCAAGGCGACGAUCCCUAGCUGGUCUGAGAGGAUGACCAGCCACACUGGAACUGGGACACGGUCCAGACUCCUACGGUAGGCAGCAGUGGGGAAUAUUGGACAAUGGGCGAAAGUCUGAUGCAGCCAUGCCGCGUGUAUGAAGAAGGUCUUCGGGUUGUAAAGUACUGUCAGCGGGGAGGCGUUACCCGAAGAAGAAGCACCGGCUAACUACGUGCCAGCAGCCGCGGUAAUAC